rnacentral:rRNA from 1 species
CCUACGGGUGGCUGCAGUGGGGGAUAUUGCACAAUGGGGGAAACCCUGAUGCAGCGACGCCGCGUGAGUGAAGAAGUAUUUCGGUAUGUAAAGCUCUAUCAGCAGGGAAGAAAAUGACAGUACCUGACCAAGAAUCCCCGGCUAACUACGUGCCAGCAGCCGCGGUAACACGUAGGGGGCAAGCGUUAUCCGGAUUUACUGGGUGUAAAGGGAGCGUAGACGGUUAUGUAGGUCUGGAGUGAAAGCCCGGGGCUCAACCUCGGAACUGCUUUGGAAACUGUGUAACUGGAGUAUAGGAGGGGUAGGCGGAAUUCAUGGUGUAGCGGUGAAAUGCGUAGAGAUCAGGAGGAACACCGACUGCGAAGGCAGCCUGCUGGACU